GAUGAAGAACGUAGCGAAAUGCGAUAAGUAAUGUGAAUUGCAGAAUUUAGUGAAUCAUCGAAUCUUUGAACGCAUAUUGCGCCCGCCAGCACUCUGGCGGGCAUGCCUGUUCGAGCGUCAUUUCAACCCUCAGGCCUCGCGUCUGGCGUUGGGGCGCUGCGGCCCUCCCGCAGGCCCCCAAAUUUAGCGGCGGAUUCCCCGCGGCCCUGAGCGCAGUAGAGAGUAAAAACUUUAACGCUCCGGCGGCCGUGGCGCGGUUCUGCCUCUUUCCCAAUAGCGCCAAUAGCGCCACCCCCAAAAAAGUUGACCUCGGAUCAGGUAGGACUACCCGCUGAACUUAAGCAUAUCAAUAGCGGAGGA
rnacentral:misc_RNA from 1 species